AGCGAACGCUGGCGGCAGGCCUAACACAUGCAAGUCGAACGAAGUCUUCGGACUUAGUGGCGGACGGGUGAGUAACACGUGGGAACGUACCUUUUGGUUCGGAACAACUCAGGGAAACUUGAGCUAAUACCGAAUGUGCCCUUAGGGGGAAAGAUUUAUCGCCAUUAGAGCGGCCCGCGUUAGAUUAGCUAGUUGGUGGGGUAAAGGCCCACCAAGGCUACGAUCUAUAGCUGGUCUGAGAGGAUGAUCAGCCACACUGGGACUGAGACACGGCCCAGGCUACUACGGGAGGCAGCAGUGGGGAAUCUUGAGCAAUGGGCGAAAGCCUGACGCAGCCAUGCCGCGUGAAUGAUGAAGGUCUUAGGAUUGUAAAAUUCUUUCAGUAGGGACGAUAAUGACGGUACCUACAGAAGAAGCCCCGGCUAACUUCGUGCCAGCCGCCGCGGUAACAC
rnacentral:rRNA from 1 species